GACACGAUGGCCGAGUGGUCUAAGGCGGUGGUUUUAAGUCUAAUUUACUUCACCAUUUCAGAAAUGAGCGUGAGUUCGAACCUCACUCGUGUCA